rnacentral:rRNA from 1 species
CUUACCUACUCUUGACAUCUACAGAAUUCGCUAGAGAUAGCUUAGUGCCUUCGGGAACUGUAAGACAGGUGCUGCAUGGCUGUCGUCAGCUCGUGUUGUGAAAUGUUGGGUUAAGUCCCGCAACGAGCGCAACCCUUAUCCUUGUUUGNCAGCACGUAAUGGUGGGAACUCCNGGGAGACUGCCGGUGAUAAACCGGANGAAGGUGGGGACGACGUCAAGUCAUCAUGGCCCUUACNAGUAGGGNUACACACGUGCUACAAUGGCGCAUACAGAGGGCUGCAAGCUAGCGAUAGUGAGCGAAUCCCAAAAAGUGCGUCGUANUCCGGAUCGGANUCUGCAACUCGACUCCGUGAAGU